rnacentral:lncRNA from 1 species
UUUUUUUUUUUUUUUUUUUUAGCACUAAUACAAAAUUCAGCAGAACACUUGAGAGUCUUUUUUCUUCUCAUUCAUGUUUAAAUUUGCAGACAUCUCCUUAUAGGAAGUUAUUUUUUUUUAAUAUACAGGCAAAAGCCUCUCUUUUAUAAUGCUCAAACCCCAUUACUUUUGAAUUCCAUAAUCAAAACACAAAACCUCUUUUGUUUGAAUAAUUCCCCUGGAAACUUGUAAUCCAGCUUUCAUUUGCACACAUCUCUCCUAUAAAACCUUGAAUUUCCUGCUUCUGAAGAUAAUAGCUGGAAUUUAUCUUAAUGUAAAAUAUCUCUUUUCAUUCCUACUAAUGUCUGGAUCUCAUUAGAGCCAAAGACCAGCUGUACUCUGUUUUGUGAGGCUUAAGCCCCAAACAAUUCACAUUCUCUUUCUAACUCAGCCUAUAAAUAUGCAUAGAUUCCUGAAAGGAAUGACCUAAGAGGUCAUUUAGUCCAGUGCUCACCUAAAGCAGAAUCACUCUCUUUUAUCCCAGAUAGCUGGUCGUUUUGCGAUCACUUAAAUACUUACACUAACAGGGAACUCACUAUCUUGCACUUCUGGUUCUUGGCAGAAUGAUUUAUUCUUUUUCACAUGGCAUCUUUCAUGUCUUCUACCCUUUUCCUCAACAAAUUAAACACUUUUCAAUAACCUUUCAUGUGAUUCAUCACCAUGCUUGUGUCUCCAAUUAGUUAGGCACAAUGCCCACAGAUCAUCCACACAUCUCAGCAUACAAUGUGACAAUUACCUCCCUUAUUCUGGCCACUUCCUCCUGUUAAUAUAGAUUCUGUAGCAUCUACAAGAUGCUAUGCCACUGCUUGGCUCAAAAUGCAAGCUGAAUUAAUACUGUUUUCCUUUGUUUUUUAAAUUUCUAAUCACAUAAGCAUUACGCACUUUCCAUUUGUUGUUUGCUUAAUGCUUGCUCCAUAAGAACCAAUACUAGAUCAGCACUGCCCUUUAUAUUAUGUUAUAUAAUUUAUUUUCUGAAUCAAAAUGCAUAGUGCAAUAUUUAUGAUAAUGUUUUAUCAACAUUUUUUGAAUCUUGAUUUUAUGAUCCUGUAUAUUAACAGUCGCUGCCAUUUUUUUGAGAUGCAAAUGUCAAGGAGCAAGAAUUUCCUGUCCCCUUCAAAGGUCCUUCUAGCUGCACUAGGAAUCAAUCAUAUUGACAGCAGAAAGUCAAAUUGAAUUUUGUAUGUAUGGGGAAUCCACACAGAUGUGGAAAUUCCAGAGAUAGGUAACAAGAGAUAUGGGGGUAGGGAUCUGGGACUUCAAAGGGAAGGAAUGCAAUUCACGAAAAGAUAAAAAAAGAGUAAAUGUUUGGUAAACAAAUGUUUGCUGGGCCACUCAGAAACAGUGAGACAUAGAAGACUUUGAUCAAACAGGUGUAGGUAGCUAGGCUCCCCUCUGUCGACCCUGCCUAGUUCAUAACAAAAUGUAGUUAUCUAUGGUGAUAGCUCUCUUCCUGAAGCAGGUCCUUUAUCUCAUUUCUUUUUAGGCAGUUGAAGAGGAAGUAAAGAGCUUUUCCUGAACCUGCUGGGUCUGGAUUACAUUUUAAUUUAAAAUAAUCUUUGUGCCAAUGUGGCCCAUCUUGGGGCCACCUGCCCUUGGCCCUUUACAAACAUACUAUUGUCUUUUAACAUUUAUCUCAGUUAUUUGUAAGAAUUUCAAACAAGGUGGAAGCUAAGUCAGUGCCCUGUUGCAUGCUAAUGUUGGCUCCCCUGUGCUCCUCAGCAUUUUUUAAAUCCAUAAGACCAGUAAUACUAUUAAAAUUAGGAUGGAAAAAAAUUAGAAUGGCAAAAUCAGAAUAGUGACAAAACUAUGCAAAAAAUGGUGAUAAUGUAGAUUUAAAAGAUAAUAAUAUCCUCUUUCAAAAAAAAUCCUCUUUCACCAUUUUUUUUUUCAAAAUCAUAUGGGAAGUCCUUACUAAUGCAAUAAAGCAAAAAGGGGGAAAAGAUGUGUGUGUGUGUAUAUAUAUAUAUAUAUAUAUAUACACACACACACAUAUAUAUAUACAUAUAUAUAUAUAUAUGCCCACAGAUCAUCCACACAUCUGUAGAUAUAUAUAUAUAUAUAUACACAUGGCAUCUUUCAUGUCUUCUACCCUUUUCUUCAUCAAAUUAAACACUUUUGGAAGAAAGAAAUAAAAAACUUUUUUAAAGAUUUUAUUUAUUUGGCAGAGAGAGAGAAUGCACACUGGAAAGGCUCUAAGAUUGAGGGCUAUACCACCACUGGGGUGGUGUCAGAGAAAGCUAAGAAGGAAGCUGAGACUUUUGUUUCAGCCAGCCUGUGAGGAACUUCCCCUGUAGUAUCCUGGAGACCAAAAUGGGAAUAUAUAGAUCCACUCCCAUCCAGCACCUCUCUACUGAAGUGAUGUCAGAGAACAUCUAGUGGAGGGUUAGGACUUUCACCACUAACUAGUGUUAAUGAUGCCACCUCUCUAUGAUGCCAGUGGAGACCACAUGGGAGGCCAGAAAUCCUAUUGCCUAGAGUAAUGUGGAGCCACAGACACACAAGCACUAGAUGUUAAUAGAACCCAUUGGGAAACAUGGGCUUCAACGUCCACCUGACUCUGAUUAAAGUGGAGUCAUAGAAAGUCAACAAAACAGAAGUUAAAUGAGAUCCAGAGUCUCAUAAUUUAUUAUAAAAAUAUCCAGGACUCAACUGAAAAUCACUCAUCAUACAAAGAAACAGGAAGAUCUUGAAUUGAAUGAAAAAAGAAAAUCAAUAGAUGCAACAUUGAAUUGACAAAGAUAUUAGUAUUACCUAGAAAAUAACCUUAAAGCAGCCAUCAUAAAAUGCUUCAAUGAGUAAUCUAUAAACAUAUUCCAAACAAAUAAAAGAUGGAAAGUCUCAGAAAACAAAUAGAAUAUAAAGAAACAAAUGGAAAUUUUAGAACUGAAAAAUAUAGUAGCUGAAAUAAAAAACUCAAUAGAAUGGAAGAGACAAACAAAAGAAUCAAUAAACUAGAAGAUAGGACAAUAGAAAUUACCCAGUCUCAAUGCAAAGAGAAAAUAGACUAAAACCAAAACAAAACAAAACAACCAGAGUCUCAAGGACCAGUGGGAAUAUAAUAAAAGAGCUAACAUUUGUGUCAUGGAAGUAGAAGGAGAUGAAAAAGAGGGCAGGGCUGGAAAAGUACUUAAAGAAAUAAUGGCUGAAAACUUUUCAAAUUUAGUAAAUGACAAAAUCUACAGAUUCCAAACGUUGAGUGAACUCCCAACAGGAUAAACCCACAAAACACACAGCAAGCUAGAAAGAUCAUAUAAGUACCUCUUUUCUAAGUGAACAGAGCAAAAGAGUCUGAUGUACCCAGCAGCCUAAUUCUUUAGACUAAGGUCAGUAUAAACUUCCUAAUUAAUGGAGCAUUCUGUCAUCAGAAUUUGAAUGUCAUCAAGAUGUAAUUCCAUUUGUCUAAGAGCGAAUCUUUCAUGCAAGGUACUUUUUGGAAAGCCUAAAAAGACAGAUAGUGAGGUCUUCUUGUGCCUUGGUUGUUUUUGUCUGUUUGGCAAUCAAUGUUUAAAUAUGCAACAGAAUUCUAUCUGAGAUUGCUUUCACUGUAAUAUAGUAGUAUGGUAGCAAGUUUCUAGAGAAGGAGUCCUGUAACUACCAGCCACUCCUAGGUAUUGAGGGCUAUCAAUACUUAGAAAAAACUUAAAAAUUGUGACUAGCUGAAUUGUUGUAGGUCAUUCACAUCAUGGUUAAAGAAGGGGAAAUAUUGUAGUCAUUUUUCAUCACCCUUGAAUAGAGUGUGCCAAUUUGUGCCAUCAUGCAUAUUA